GCGGGGAUAGCUCAGUUGGGAGAGCGUCAGACUGAAGCCAAACUUCAUCAAACAUCACGAAGAUCUUCUUCGCGGUAUAUCUGAAGGUCGUGCGUUCGAUCCGCACUCACCGCA